rnacentral:tRNA from 1 species
GGUCCUGUAGUGUAGCGGUUAUCACGUCGCCCUGUCACGGCGAAGAUCGCGGGUUCGAUUCCCGUCGGGACCG